GUCGACCACGGGAGGCAGCAGUGAGGAAUAUUGGUCAAUGGCCGAGAGGCUGAACCAGCCAAGUCGCGUGAGGGAUGACGGCCGUACGGGUUGUAAAUCUCUUUUGUCGGGGAGCAAAGAGAGUCACGUGUGGCUCAUUGAGAGUACCCGAAGAAGAAGCAUCGGCUAACUCCGUGCCAGCAGCCGCGGUAAUACGGAGGAUGCGAGCGUUAUCCGGAUUUAUUGGGUUUAAAGGGUGCGCAGGCGGAGGUGCAAGUCAGUGGUCAAAUUGCGGGGCUCAACCCCGUACUGCCGUUGAAACUGCA
rnacentral:rRNA from 1 species